rnacentral:rRNA from 1 species
UACGAGGGGGGCAAGUGUUGUUCGGAAUCACUGGGCGUAAAGGGAGCGUAGGCGGACGUUUAAGUCGGGUGUUUAAAACCGGGGCCCAACCCCGGGGCGGCACCCGAAACUGGGCGUCUUGAAUGGGACAGAGGCUGGUGGAAUUGGGGGUGUAGCGGUGGAAUGCGUAGAGAUCCCCAAGAACACCGAUUGCGAAGGCAGCCAGCUGGGUCCACAUUGACGCUGAGGCUCGAAAGCAUGGGGAGCAAAC